rnacentral:rRNA from 1 species
GGUUGAGAUCAUACCAGCACUAAUGCACCGGAUCCCAUCAGAACUCCGCAGUUAAGCGUGCUUGGGCGAGAGUAGUACUAGGAUGGGUGACCCCCUGGGAAGUCCUCGUGUUGCAACCCC